rnacentral:rRNA from 1 species
GAUGAACGCUGGCGGCGUGCCUAAUACAUGCAAGUCGAGCGAACGGACGAGAAGCUUGCUUCUCUGAUGUUAGCGGCGGACGGGUGAGUAACACGCGGAUAACCUACCUAUAAGACUGGGAUAACUUCGGGAAACCGGAGCUAAUCCCGGAUAAUAUUUUGAACCGCAUGGUUCAAAAGUGAAAGACGGUCUUGCUGUCACUUAUAGCUGGAUCCGCGCUGCAUUAGCUAGUUGGUAAGGUAACGGCUUACCAAGGCAACGAUGCAUAGCCGACCUGAGAGGGUGAUCGGCCACACUGGAACUGAGACACGGUCCAGACUCCUACGGGAGGCAGCAGUAGGGAAUCUUCCGCAAUGGGCGAAAGCCUGACGGAGCAACGCCGCGUGAGUGAUGAAGGUCUUCGGAUCGUAAAACUCUGUUAUUAGGGAAGAACAUAUGUGUAAGUAACUGUGCACAUCUUGACGGUACCUAAUCAGAAAGCCACGGCUAACUACGUG